rnacentral:rRNA from 1 species
CAGCAGCCGCGGUAAAACCAGCAGCCCAAGUGGUGGUCGCGAUUAUUGGGCCUAAAGCGCUCGUAGCCGGGCCGGUAAGUCCCUUGUGAAAUCGGACGGCCUAACCGUUCGGCGUGCAAGGGAUACUGUCGGUCUUGAGGCCGGGAGACGUCCGAGGUACUCCGGGGGUAGCGGUGAAAUGUUCUGAUCCUCGGGGGACCACCGGUGGCGAAGGCGUUCGACGAGAACGGGCCUGACGGUGAGGGGCGAAGGCUAGGGGAGCAAACGGGAUUAGAGACCCCUGUAGUCCCUGUCUCUUAUU